GAAAGGCUUUCAGUUAGCAAUGAUGUUUGCCAGAAAAUUCAAGCUGAGGGUGUUUUGAAGCCGUUAAUAAGAUCACUGAAAAAUUCGGAUGCUUCAGAAAGUUCAACUCAUAUGAUCCUGAAUAUUCUUGGCCGGAUAUUAGAUCCCACUAAAGAAAUGAAA